AUUUCGUUUGUUUUUCAAACCGUUCGUAAAACCGCGUAAGCAUAGAUGUUAAAUAUUCAAGUAAAAUGUAAAACAUUAUUAUUAUACACGUACCUGAUUGUUAACUUUCUCAUUAAACCCAUCAUAUUGUGAUGUUUAUAGUAUUACUGUUUUGAUAACAUUGUUUAGAAUUUUGCCCAAUUAUAAUUACAAUCCACCUGAGUAAUUAUUACUGUGACGUCGACUUUUGGUAGAUGUUUUCGUUUAGUCGACAUGCGCACCACACAUUGUGAAAUCUAAAAUAAACACAAUACAAUUUGAUUUAUCCUUUACAUUUCUGUCAGAGACGCUUAGGAGAACCAAUUUUAGGAUCCGAAUUAAAGCUUUCUUUAAAACAACUGAUUUAUCUGUAGGUAAGUACAUGGUGGCAUCAUCUACACAUCCCUUCGUGUCUCUAAAGGAAGUGCGCAGAAGAAUUUAUUAUCAGUUUAAAAAAACACAAAUAUCUGGUUUUUUGUUAGGUAUCCACGAAGUGUCACAUGAUUGCGUGCAAAGUAGGUAGGUAUAUUUCAUUGAAUAGAAUGUGUACCACACUUGUAUAAAUAUUUUAAUAAACAAAUAUUGAUCUUCAUUUAUAAAAGUGCGCGAUCUUAUUAAAGUCAAUCGCAAUUGGUUUAUAUCUAGUGAUUUGUUUUGCAGCAUUUAUUUCUAAGUAUAUUAGACAAUAUUUUGCUAGCGACUGCGCCCGCGUGUAGUCAAGUUAUACUUAUAGUAACCGAUAAAAUAUAUUUGCAAGUUACUUGGGCUUCGCGCGAUGUCCAAUAUGGAUAGACCACUACGGUUACUAACACAUCUUGAGCAAUUUCCCUACGAAAUUGUUGAAAUCGGAGAUAUUUUUUUAUUACUACCGUCCUGGGCACUGGCAAGGGGUACAAAGAAAAAGGCCUCGCAAUGAUCAGCCCUAGCGUAGCUUUUUUAUGACUUUAUCUUUUGCUUUUGCCCGAUACCUUGAGCGGCAAGUAUUGGGUCCACGUCGGGCGGCAAGAGUCCAGACUACGCCGCUGUUCCUAUCAUUAAUUUUUUUCUUCUCAAAAUUUGUCCAUUAGCCAGUCACGAAGGAGAUUACGUAACAAAAUUAAUUAAAUUAUGGGCGUAGCGAAGGGUAGCAAUGGUGGUCGGCACCCACCGUAGAACGUCAUUGCCCACGCUAGAAAAAGCCGGCAGAGGUCUCCCGUGGUGCAGACAUUUCGUUGCAGACACGCUCUUCCUAUUGUGAAUCGACAGGAAAAUCUUAUACGAACAUCAAAGGUUCAUUCAAUCAAAGGAUCCCAGGUAAAGCCGAUAAGCCGCUUUCCAAACCAUUUGUUUCCAAUAGUCACAUGUCUUUGUCAAACAUUACCAGCGGAGUCUUCAAAGUCGUCUCAAAAAUAAAUUCGCCUUAAAAUAGAAAAAACGAGCAAGUAUGAGCAAUAUUUGAUAAUACCUAGCAAUUUUUUUUUAAUUUUUUGUGUUUUGUAAUUACUUAUUCUUCGGAGUCUUGCGUGAAAAUUUAUAAUAUACUUAAUUAGCUUUCAUAACUAAAUUCCUUUACUUGUAACACAAGGUCUCUUUGCUUGCUAAAAUUUUAAUUAUUAGUCGCUGCCGUUAGUGAGUCCAUAUAAUUACACGUAGAAAAGAAAUUUUAAUUUUUCGUAGAAAUAUUUAUAGUUUGUACCUUAGGAUAUAAAUUGUAGUUUUAAAUCAACCCCCGGUUCCCAGUUACCAAAAAAACUUGCUUUGGCAUAGAAGAAAACCAACAAUGAUCAUGAGCAGUAAUCCGAUUUUUAAACCAACUCCAAAGGAGGAAGGUUUAUUAUCUAUUCGUCGUAAUUUCUGUUUUUUUUUUUGUUCAUAAUUUUGAACCCCUGUUCUGAUUUAAAUAAUUCUUUUUAGUUCGAUUUUGUAAAGCUUCGUAAUGGUUCCUUUUAAUGUCACUGGUAUAAGAUCCCGAAUUUCGCAAAUCAGAGGGGGCAAAUAAGAUUUUGGGGAUUUUUGUGUUGGAUUUAAUAUACUUAGUUUCAAGAUAUUGAAAUGAAAUGAUUUAUUUAAAUCUGUAAAAUGUUAUA